GGCAAAUGGAUCGUAAAGUCUUCAAAAAAGAAUAGAUACGAUUGCAUUGCAUGUAGUARC
rnacentral:sRNA from 1 species